CGACUUAUAUUCUGUAGCAAGGUUAACCGUAUAGGGGAGCCGUAGGGAAACCGAGUCUUAACCGGGCGUUAAGUUGCAGGGUAUAGACCCGAAACCCGGUGAUCUAGCCAUGGGCAGGUUGAAGGUUGGGUAACACUAACUGGAGGACCGAACCGACUAAUGUUGAAAAAUUAGCGGAUGACCUGUGGCUGGGGGUGAAAGGCCAAUCAAACCGGGAGAUAGCUGGUUCUCCCCGAAAGCUAUUUAGGUAGCGCCUCGUGAAUUCAUCUCCGGGGGUAGAGCACUGUUUCGGCUAGGGGGCCAUCCCGGCUUACCAACCCGAUGCAAACUGCGAAUACCGGAGAAUGUUAUCACGGGAGACACACGGCGGGUGCUAACGUCCGUCGUGAAGAGGGAAACAACCCAGACCGCCAGCUAAGGUCCCAAAGUCAUGGUUAAGUGGGAAACGAUGUGGGAAGGCCCAGACAGCCAGGAUGUUGGCUUAGAAGCAGCCAUCAUUUAAAGAAAGCGUAAUAGCUCACUGGUCGAGUCGGCCUGCGCGGAAGAUGUAACGGGGCUAAACCAU
rnacentral:rRNA from 1 species